rnacentral:rRNA from 1 species
UACGGAAGGCAGCAGUGGGGAAUAUUGGACAAUGGGCGCAAGCCUGAUCCAGCCAUGCCGCGUGUGUGAAGAAGGCCUUUUGGUUGUAAAGCACUUUAAGCGAGGAGGAGGCUCUCUUAGUUAAUACCUAAGAUGAGUGGACGUUACUCGCAGAAUAAGCACCGGCUAACUCUGUGCCAGCAGCCGCGGUAAUACAGAGGGUGCGAGCGUUAAUCGGAUUUUACUGGGCGUAAAGCGUGCGUAGGCGGCUUUUUUAAGUCGGAUGUGAAAUCCCCGAGCUUAACUUGGGAAUUGCAUUCGAUACUGGGAAGCUAGAGUAUGGGAGAGGAUGGUAGAAUUCCAGGUGUAGCGGUGAAAUGCGUAGAGAUCUGGAGGAAUACCGAUGGGCGAAGGGCAGCCAUCUGGGCCUAAUACUGACGCUGAGGUCGAAAGCAUGGGGA